rnacentral:rRNA from 1 species
AGGCUGCAACUCGCCUACACGAAGCUGGAAUCGCUAGUAAUCGCGGAUCAGCACGCCGCGGUGAAUACGUUCCCGGGCCUUGUACACACCGCCCGUCACACCAUGGAAGUCUGCAAUGCCCGAAGCCGGUGGCCUAACCACUUAUGUGGAAGGAGCCGUCCAAGGCAGGGCAGAUGACUGGGGUGAAGUCGUAACAAGGUAGC